rnacentral:rRNA from 1 species
AUUGAACGCUGGCGGCAGGCCUAACACAUGCAAGUCGAGCGAGCGGCGGACGGGUGAGUAAUGUAUGGGGACUGCCCGAUAGAGGGGGCUAACUACUGGAAACGGUUGCUAAUACCGCAUACUAUCGGAUAACCCAUAUGGGAUUAGCUAGUAGGUGGGGUAAAGGCUCACCUGGGCGACGAUCUCUAGCUGGUCUGAGAGGAUGAUCAGCCACACGGGGACUGAGACACGGCCCAGACGACUACGGAGGCAGAAGUGGGGAAUAUGGCACAAUGGUGGCAAGCCGGAUGCAGCCCUGCUGCGUGUAUGAAGAAGGCCUUAGGGUUGUAAAGUACUUUCAGCGGGGAGGCGUUACCCGAAGAAGAAGAACCGGCUAACUCCGUGCCAGCAGCCGCGGUAAUAC